AAAGGAAUUGACGGGGACCCGCACAAGCAGUGGAGUAUGUGGUUUAAUUCGAAGCAACGCGAAGAACCUUACCAGGGCUUGACAUGCAGGUGAAUAUGCUAGAGAUAGUAUAGUCCUUCGGGACACCUGUGCAGGUGGUGCAUGGUUGUCGUCAGCUCGUGUCGUGAGAUGUUGGGUUAAGUCCCGCAACGAGCGCAACCCCUGUUGCUAGUUGCCAUCAUUAAGUUGGGCACUCUAGCGAGACUGCCGGUGACAAAUCGGAGGAAGGUGGGGACGACGUCAAAUCAUCAUGCCCCUUAUGUCCUGGGCUACACACGUACUACAAUGGCUAUAACAGCAGGGAGCUAAGGAGUAAUCCGGAGCGAAUCCUCAAAAAUAGUCCCAGUUCGAAUUGUGGGCUGAAACCCGCCCACAUGAAGUCGGAAUUGCUAGUAAUGGCAGGUCAGCAUACUGCCGUGAAUACGUUCCCGGGUCUUGCACACACCGCCCGU
rnacentral:rRNA from 1 species